UACGUAGGGGGCAAGCGUUGUCCGGAUUUAUUGGGCGUAAAGAGCGUGUAGGCGGCUUUACAGGUCCGUUGUGAAAACUCGAGGCUCAACCUCGAGACGCCGGUGGAAACCGUAAGGCUAGAGUCCGGAAGAGGAGAGUGGAAUUCCUGGUGUAGCGGUGAAAUGCGCAGAUAUCAGGAGGAACACCGGUGGCGAAGGCGGAUCUCUGGGCCUGAUCUGACGCUGAGGCGCGAAAGCUAGGGGAGCGAACAGG
rnacentral:rRNA from 1 species